CCAGGUGGUUUAUUCCAAAUACCAAGGCUUUAACUGUCUUUUGUUAAAACAACAACAAAAUAAAACAGAAGUCUAAAGCUUCUUUAUUUUCCAAUAACUAAAAGAAACAUUGGUUUUAUGGAUACACUGUAGUAACAAUAACUGGUGCAUUGAGACAGCAAGAGUGUCCACAGUAUAUACUGGUACAGGGUACAUAGAGAACAGAUUGCAGUAGGGGCAAUGAAAUUUGCAGUUUUAAAGAAUGUGAAACUGACCUACUGAGUCCAUCUUAUCAUGAACAUAUCACAGUACUGGGUAUUUACUAUGCAUGGUAGAGAACUGUGUAGUACCCAGAAGGGAGAAUGAUUUGAAAAGUGACACAACACAAUACCUUUUUAGCUAUGGACAUUAUGUCUGUUUUUAAAUAAGAAGAGAAGACAAAGAUGCAGAGGUUCUGUGACUGGCAGCCUGGAGUAGUUAUCCUAACUGGUCAGCUCUGGUAGUAUUAAAAGGUGGGGCAAGACCAUGCUUAUUUUUCCCAGAGAAAGGUCAGGGGGAAGGGGCCGGUGCAUAAAUCACAGGACCAUCAGAAGGACACAGGGUCUUACCCCAAGGAAUCCUGAGAGGCUGAAGACAAUCAAUGGCCAGAUGCUCCAGAGAGCUGGAACACCACAAAAACAGGGUGAAAAAUGCUAAGUCCCUCUGCACAGAGAGGUAAGUAAGACCAUGUGGUCAUUACUUAACAUAUUCCAAAUUAUUCUAAGAGAUAGAAUGAGGGAAAUGAGAAAACCCCAGUCCUACUCAUUUCAUCUCAUUAGCACAGAGAUAUCAGCACGUGGUUGGUAUCAAGAAAGAGGUGGGAACUUAUUUAUUGCCAAAGAUUUCACAGAAUGAAAGCACUGAAUAAGACUGGAAAAGCCUUCUGAUUACUAAUAAUAUUAUAAAUAUUCUAGAAAGAAAAAUAGGAGGUAACAUUUCAAAUAUAGAAUAUGGUAAGUCAUGAGCCAAGUAGUCUUCCAUUAACCAAGAAGGCUUAGAAAUUCAAGGAAGUUUUCCAGUGAAAUGAAACUAUGAGGACUAUGAAAAUAUCAGCUCUGAACUGUGGUAUAUUUAUAUGACAAUAAAGAAUGGGUAAUAAGCAUCAUUCAUCCAUCAUCAGAGAAGCUUCCUCCUGCUGCAGAUGGGAAUAAAUAUAGACAUUAUCCAGAGAGAGAGAGGGGGGGUGAGCUAGGGUUGUUCUGAGUGAAGGACUGUACUGCUUCCAUUCAUUGGGAAUAUUUUCAAGCUUCCUUGCCAGUACAGCCAGUGACAGCACAGAUCAUUGACUUCCACAUGGCUUCAGGGAGCAGCAUGGACUAUGGACACCAACAUGGCAUGGAGAUACAGCACAGUCUGUGGAGGUUUUUUGAGGAGGCCCAAUCCAGUAUAUGAAACACUCUCCAUCUCCAUUAGUGUGAGCUUCUGCAGCUCUGGUUUCACUUCUCUCUGGCCUGGCAAGGAGCUCUGCUCUGCCAUCUGUCACCACCUCCUCCUCUUCCUCUCCCUCUUCCUCCUCCCUCCUGCUCUUCCUCCUCCUCCUUCUAAUUUCAUGAGACUGCUUUUAAAAAGCAUCUUCCCAUAAGACCUGAUUUUUUAGUUGUUUUGGAGAUACUGUGCUCUCUAAGACUCACCCUCUACUCCCUCAUCUCCCCUCUGAGCCCCCAUGGGUCUCUAAGUCUCCAUGUUCUAUGGAUGCCAAUAGCCACUGUCAUCUUGAAAUUAUCUCCAUUUGAAAUUCUUAAAACUUUUUAUUUUCUCCAAUCUUUUCAAUUAAAAUUGUUUUUAAAUGUCACUCUGGCCGGGCAUUGGCGGCACACGCCUUUAAUCCCAGCACUCGGUAGGUAGAGGCAGGCGGAUCUCUUUUAGUUCAAGGCCAGCGUGGUCUACAGAGUGAGUGCCAGGAUAGGUUCCAAAGCUACACAGAGAAACCCUGUCUCAAAAAACCAAAACAACAAAAAAUGUGUCACUCUGCAAUGCAGGUUGUAACUACAACCUCAGGCACUGAAUUGCAAGAUUAAUAGUCUAUAUCUCCAUGGCCAUAGUGGCCAUAGUUUAGCAAUACAUAAAUUAACAUUGAUUAUAAGAGAAGGAAAGUAUCUGCUUUCCUAACUACUUGCAUAUCUGGUGACAGGCAAUAUUUUGAAACCCUGGCUUACAGACCCAUAUAGCUGUCCAGGUAUUACACAAACUUUCACUGCUUCCCUAAAUGAGUAAGUCUCAUUGCUGCUGAAAAGAAUGUUCUUUUGCCUAUAAUCAUAUGUGUAAAUUUUAAAGACUUGGUACCUUUUUCUAUUGUAAACUAUUGAACCUCACUUUUUGCUCCCUAGUGGUCAUGUCUCAACUCUUCUUUAUAGUAGCAGUGAGAUCACAGAAAACAAGCCACUUCUGUGAGCAGUUUGACUUUAGAAUACAUUGCAAUUCUUCUCUCAAGCAUCCCGACUCCCUAGAAAGCUUUCAAAACAGGCUUGUGUAAUGCUGUGGCCACAGACCUUUAUUUCCUUUGUUGCUUCUCAGCCUUAGUUCCUAGAAUCCUUAUCUAGCAGGAAUUAAGUUUUCCUGGCUCAUUGUCACUCAAAUGCCCUUGAAGACUUGAGUAUCAUAGGUACUAAUUAAAUUAUUGAGGGCACACCAUCACAAAUCCUUUUUUUUCUACCUAAGAUUGCAUUAUGGAAGGCAUGAGCAGUGUUUCCUCCAAGCUGGGGUGCUCCCUAAUUGCUUUGGUGAUACCAGGAGAAGCCUGUGUGGUAAUUGCUGGGUUUAUGCUUAUGCACAACCCUCUGAUGGGUGCAAAAUCACUCAUAGCUAGAAUCCUCUAGUGUUCCUCUCAAUAAACAGGCUGUUUGUAAGAUCUUCUCCUUAAGUUAAUUGCUAUUCAAGGACUCCUUGACUUUGUUUUCAAGGGGCACAGACAUCCCUAGUCCCUACUCUAUCACUUUACUACAAUAGUAAGGGGAUCCUAGGCCGGGUAUGUUCACUAAAUUUAUUGAGCUGAAUCACCACAUAUAGUGUUUUAUUUACUCUAAUUUGUUUAGUAAGAGCUUUGUCACACACACACACACACACACACACACACACACACACACACACACACACACACACACACACACACUGUAGACAGUAGAAUGACAGGAUGGCAGGAAAGCAGAGAAUGUUUCUGGUUUCCCCAUCCUUUCUUUUCUGUCUUAGAACAGGAGCACCAUCUACAGAUAUAGGGAUAUAACUCCUCUACCCCAAGAGCAGUUCCAAGUUUUAAUUUCUCUAGGGCUAAAUAUUGAGGUCAGCAAUAAAGUUCCCAGGGAAACAUACAUCAAAAUGAAGAAGGACCUGGUAAAGAUAGCAGCAGACCUCCAAAAACAAGGCCUCACAGAAGCAUUUGCGGUGUUCUACAAAUUUUCAACUUGAGAACUCUUGCCCCUAGAAAAAAAGAUCCAAAAUCCUCAACAUGUGUCUUGAUUGUCUAUGUGCCUGACCUAAAUUCUCCAGAGCAACAGGGAGCUACUCAUAGAAAUGUCACAGAUCCUGAUCCUGGGUGGGAGGGGAGCUGAUGCUGCCUCAGCAUCACAGUACAGAGGAAAUGGAUCAGGACAGGGCUUCAAGUCAUGCAUAAGAUACUGGUGCCACUCCCCAUGUGUUUUCUUCCCCUCUUUUCUGACAUUAGGACUGUUCUAAUUCUCCAUUUCAUUUUGCCUUGCAAUAAAUAAAGACAAUAAAUAGGGUCACUGAAAGAGCUGAGACCCUGAAGAAUAAACUCCUGACGCAGUACAGCAAGGAGUAUGCAGGAUACCUGACACAUAAGGUCAGUGUGUGAGCAUGAAGACAGGAGGUUUCUAUGUCACCUAGUCAUCCUGUGUCCUGGGAGUGUGUUGUGUGGUUUCAGCGGAAUCUGUGUUCAAUGGAUAUGUUCCACACUCACUUGAACACAAUCCAUCUAUAUCCAUACAAGCCAACACACAUACACCCCCCCCCACACACACACACACACACACACACACACACACACACACACACACACACACACACACACACACACACAGGGCAGGGAGGAGACUGAGAAUUAGUUGUUACCGAAGACAGAUAUAUAGCAACAGAGUAAGGUGUUUGUGGUUGUUUCCCAUAGUAUGAGGGUUAUGAAAGCAAGCAUGGACCCUAUGCUGAUAUGUCAGAUCUGAACACUACACUUUGUCCAUCUCUUUGCUGAAAAUGCAUUUUCCUCUGAGAAUUGAAGUGUUAGCCUAACACAGGUUUCUCUUUCUGUAGAAGGAAAGAGAAGAGGAGGAGGCAAAAACAUUGCAUUCUGGGAGGAUAUAAGAAACACCAUCAAAAACUUCCCAAACUUUGCCAAAUAGAGUUCUCUUCUGGAUAGACUGGUGGAUGGAGGUGAUCAACGUAGAAGUGGAGAAGUGGGCUCAGCCUGGCAUUGACAUCUGAAAGGCUGAAGAAUCUUCAGACCGAAGCAUUCCUAUUAAACCAUUAGUGGUGCGUGGCCCACAGAAAGCCUUUGAAGAGAUCACCCCAACAUAUCAUCAGACACACAUUGUGGGGAGACUAAGAUGGUGGAAAGCCCAGCAUUAGGUAGACCUUCUUAGGAAAUCCUCAGUAGAUCAUGGAGAUAAUAACACUGACUGAAGUGCUAGCUGUGACAGUGUUGGAACCUGUGAUGGACUCCCCAGAAAGCAGCGGACAACUGGAUAUGGAUAUUCAAAGUUCUCUUCAGGUGAGUGUGAUGGAAAAAAAUCACUAAAGGACAUAAACGUUUAGGUUGUGAUAAAGAAAGAGAGAGCUCUCUGAUCAUGGAAUACUUGACCAGAAGAAGCUCAAACCCAC
rnacentral:lncRNA from 1 species